AGCCUAUUUUCCAAACAUUACAUAUGUAACUUGAGCUCAAGAGUUGGUCGCCAAAGAAAGGUCUGCAUAGCAUUGGUACCCCUUCACAAAUGCUCUCAAUGGUUGAAUUCCACCCACAGUGGCUCCAAAAUCCACCCACUGCAGCAUGAGCCAACACUUCCUUUUGAGGUGCCCAUUUCACAAUGCAACCUCUUUCUCCCACACUCUCCUCAAACCCAUUUGGCAAAGAUUCAAUCCAUUCUGAGCCAGAAACCAUACCAGGUCUAACCACCCACAGGAAGGGUUGUUUACUGUUGGAUAAUCCCCAAGCUGUCUCAAUUAGUUCUUGCUUAUCAAUGUUGGCAAUGCUACCAAAGCUCACAUAGAUGACAGAUUUGGGGGCUUGUUUGUUAAGCCAAUAGAUGCAUUUAUCAUCUUCAGUCAAUAAUGAGCAGCAAAUGGCUGGAGCUAAUUUGUGUAAUGGUCCUACAGUGAAAAUUGGAGUAGGAAAGUAUUGUCUUACCUUUGACAGUGCUUCUAGUUCCAAAAAUUCCAUUGAGUUCACAAUUAUAGCUGAUGAGAACUUAAUCGCAUUUGUGAAUGCAGCUCUCACCUCCAUCAUCGCUUGAGUCGGAUUCUGUACUAUUAAUGCUCGUAAGCGUUGAAGCUGAAGAGCUUGAAGCUCGGGUGAUUCAAUUCCAGACAUUAAUUCUGCAACACAAAUUUAACCCAGACCAAAAUUACGUAUGAUCAUCAUGUAUACAACAUGUUGCAACCAAAUAUUAAAGUGUUAUGUAUACCUUUCUCACCAAGUUGAGGAAGUACCGAAAAUAAUAGCAUUGUUGUAGCCGAACUUGUACGCAAAGUUAUCCCGGGUAUCCCCAGUUCGUUGACUAUAGUUUGAGCACAAAACAUGAGUGUAUCAUAGAUGACUGCAGCAAUAUGGUGAUGAGAGUGCAAAAUGUUUUCGAGGCAUUUUUGUAAUGGUGCUGCACAGUUUUUGUGGAGACUCUGCAAGGAACCUGCAACAUCUACAUUUGAGACUAGAGAUUCCUUGAGCUUAUCUGCAAGGUCUUCAUCUGAGAGUUGAGAUUCCUUGAUCUUAUCUGGUAUGGAUACGAAGGUGAAUUGGGGUGGUUUGAAGGGUUAAGAGAAUUCAAUUCAGGGUGAACUAUAGUGAUUGAGAAGCCCUUUGAGUGCAAGAUAGUAGCUAGCUGGAGCAUGGGAGUUAAGUGGCCUUGGAAGGGUGCCAUAACAAGCACCAAAUGACCGGAUUUCUGUUGUUCCUCCAUUUUUGUUCUCUCUUUCUCUGGACUUACUGGUGGAGGACUCGAAGGCUAAUGGAGUCAAUAAAUAAAAAGAGAUUAGAUAUUAAAAAAUGAAUUUUUCCUUUGCUUCUUGAAAAGGUGUCAAUCACAACACCAAAUACCCUUAAUUUUUCAAAAAAAAAAGGCUGCUUUAGUCUUUGUUUGGGUGGAAAAUAAACUGGAUAAUGUCAAAAUCAAUCAAACAUCGGAAAUUUACGAAAAUAUUUUUUUAUAAUCUUUUCAUUUUUGAGACCAAAAUUUUAUUUUAAUAUAAGAUUUAUAUUUUAAUUUUUUUAUGCAUGCUUUAUUAUCUUCAUCUGUUGUAUAUAUUAAUAAUAUUAUUAAUUGAGUUUACUGUUCACGGGUCGGGCUGGAUAGCCGGCCGAUAGGUUGAAGGAUUUAGUUCCAAACCAAUUGUGGUGCAAUUAGAAUUGUUGAUAUGAUGUAUUAACGUGUUUAAAUUUUAUUUUAUUCACAAUUUAAUUUAUUUUUAUUUUAAUGUUGUACAUAUUUCAUAGGUUUUUGUUAAUUAGUUCUAAACCAAUCAUUUCAUUAAUUAUUGUAUAUUAUUUUGAAACUAACAUUUAUGUUCUAAGUACUUUGUUUUCGCACGUAUACGCAUAUGAUAGAAUUUUUCAUGAAUAAUAAUUUUUAUUUAAAUUUAAUUAUAAAAUAUAUACAAAAUUAUAUUUAAAUAAUAGAAUGAAUGAUCAAGUUGUUUUAAAUUAAACAACAACCAAUAUCUAAGUUUUGAUCUAAUUCAUUAACAAAGUAUUGUGCAUGCAAUUUUACAAAAAAUUACUGAGAAGAUAAAACAAUCAUUGAAAAAUUGUGUUACUUGUACUUUUUAUUUUAUUUAAAUUACCCAUGAUUUUAAGUUCAACAUAUUUUUAGACAUAAUCGAGAUAUGAUCUUAUAAAUAUAUAUAUUAAAAAACUUAACAUACACUCAUUAGGUCUAUAUUGAGUUCACAUACAAAUCCGGACAACAUAGAUGUAACAUACAAUUACUAAACUAGACCAAACCAAAACAAAUGUUUAUAGUUUCCACCGUGAAAGAGAAUGAUGCCUACUCAGUUUUCCAAGCAUAUAAAACAUAACAAAACUUUGGAAUAUUUAUGUUGCAAUCAUCAUCACUGUUGAUGAUAGAGUUUGAAUCCGGUUCACCUGGUAUGAAAAUAAAUAAUCCAUGGCUUGAACUGGAUUUAUUAUAUAACCAGUCAUGUACAUCCCAGAAAAUUUGUAUAGGUGUUUUGUUAACUGUGACUAUUUCAUUUCCUCUGAACCUCCAAUGAAGGUUCAUAACUCGAAUGAUGGUGGUACCGUCUAUGGUAACCCACAUUUCGGGAUCAUCGGGAUCGGAUAGACAGUUCUCGAUUAUAAUGUCGUGUUCUUGUAUCCCUUCACCAAGUUUGGUCUUGGAACAAAAGAGUCUUUUCCCACAAAUAUGCUCUUGCUUGCACAACAAGUUAGGGUCUAUCAAGGAAAGUUUUUUCUUGGUUCUUUUUAAAGCAUCUUUUUUCAUGUCACCUAUAACUAAUACCACUUUUUCAUCACACACCAUUGCUACAUAAUAGUCUGAGCAAGGCUCGGGGCUAGCAUUGAACUUCGUUUCUCGAAAAUCCCAAUAAAUAUCGACCCUUUCGCCAUCUAUUUCGAUGUUUUUCAGACCUUUUUUUCCCCAAAAUUGCCAUCCAUUUAAAUCAAUCUUGCAGGUAUUAUGGUUUUGAUCAUCACAAGGACUUUCUACACUUAUAGCAAACGAAUGGCUAACCGGGCUUUUGCACCAUGUAGCCGUUACUUUGCGGUACAAGUCCCCAAUAUUGGCACCGUAGAUAGAGGUGACUGAACAUUGUGCAGCAUUAUCCGUUGUUACCUGAUUCUCCUUCUGUUUCCCCGUUGAUGGCGGUGGCCUUGGAACAUUAGGUAAUGCAGCUCCCUCGAGAUUUUUUAACAUUGUUGAGGCCCUCGGCACAACGGUGUUUCAAACUUGCAGCUGUUAGCAAAUGCUCUGGCUAUAUUGAAUACUGAUCCAUCAUAACGAUGGUUGAAGUAUCGUGUAGAGCUCGCUAGCCAGACUUUAAAAAAAAACUUAACAACCUGUUCAUUUAGAUAAAAGUUUUCAAAUAAUUUAAUAACUAUUUUAUAAUUUUUUAAAGUUGAUUAACCAAAGUAUAAAUUUAUUAAUAAUUUAAUGACUUUAGAUAUAGUUUUUUUUCUCUCAUAACAACAUAAAAAUAUUUUUAUUUUAAGGUUUAUAUCACGAUUUGUUUUUAAUUAUUUCAAGUUCUUUCAGGUUUUGCUUUUACAAUCUCAUCAUGAGAUUGUGUCAACUUUUUCCAAAAGCGACAUCUUAUGAGACAAAAAGUCUAGGAACACAUAUGUAAGACAUUUAAAGCUUUUUUGACCUAUCUUGUCACGGGCUAGCAUUAGGUCCUCUUUUGCAUAACUUACAUGAAUAUAGUUUAAUUUAUCUUCAUCUCUUUACAGUUCACCUAAAAGUUAUUAUGCCUCUCUAAUGGCAAAUCAUAAUGGUAUUUGCGUCAUAAACGUACCAAGUGUUGGAAAAUGUAGACAUCACAUAUAUAAUAAUAGUAAUUAUAAGUUAUUGUUUAGUAUCAUAAAAGAUCAGCUCAAAUUAAAAAUAAUUUAAUUUGGUUAAUGUUUAUCAGGCUUUAGUUAUUAAAUAAAGUAUGAGCCAAAUAUGUAUAGAUACAUUAAUAACUAAUUUAUAAUUGAUGAUGGGAUGAUUUGAUGUAAUAAAGUACGCUUCUACAUCUAAUUUUGUUCUUGAUGAUUUGACAUAGAUCCUGAUUAAUAAAGUUAUAUAUUAAAUUAUUGAGAACCAACUUAUUGUGGAAGAAAAGAAAGUAGGGAGAAUCCAACCUGCCAAUUUUCGUGGGAAAUUCAUUGGGUAUUUGUUUGUGGGGUAAUUGCAAAAUAGAACUACAAGGAUGUUUAAUUUCAUGUCUCUUUGAUGAAGUUGGCCAGCAUGCUGCCACACCAGCCAACAUGCAGACCAUGAAGAUCGAGCAAGGCAGAAGCUACUGCAGCAAGCUUAAAUUGAUCUAGUUUUGUUCAUUUUGUAAUGUUUAGUUAAUGAAAUGUAUCUUAGUUCAUUUUCAACUAUGUUAGGUUGAUGAUUGAUGUAAUUUGCUGAUUGAUGAGCUGUUUAUUCAGCUUUGCUUGUAUGUACAAGUUAAUUACUUCAAGUUUCAAUGCUUAGUGGUGCUAGGUAACCAUUAGGUAAACAUUUUGCUAAUUUUGACAAGCUUAGUGCUUGGUUUAUGUAUUGGCAUUAUGCCAUUGCUCAUUUUUAUGAAUGAAAUCAGAAUUUUUUCAUCAAUAAUCUCUUCAUUUUCUUGUUUUUCUUCCUUAUUUUUACUUGAAACAAGUUGUUUGCUCAGCAAGUAUCGAGGCUUGUUGCACAAGACACAAGCUGAGCUUGUCUGCUUCUGUUCUAAACCCAACAAUUGGUAUCUAGAACUGUAUUCUUAGAAGACCUGUUGUAGUUCAAAUACCAGAAACCUAUGGUCUCAUCAAGUUUUUCACCAGCUGUACCACAGGUCUUCAAUGGAGAAGGCUAUCAUAUAUGGGUGGUCAAAAUGAAGACCUACCUGCAGGCUUUCGAUCUAUAGGAGGUGAUCAAUUUAGAUAUUGAACUAGAGCCACUUAGAGCCAAUCCAAUAGUGGCUCAGAUCAAGCAACAUGCUGAUGAGAGGACCAAGAGGCACAAGGCCAUGUCUUGCAUCCAGAACUUAGUGUCAGAUGUGAUUUUCACAAGGAUUAUGGCCUGUGAAACACCAAAGCAGGCCUGAGACAAGUUGCAAGAGGAGUUUCAAGGGACAGAGAGGACAAGGCAGCAAAAAUUGUUGAACUUGAGGAGAGACUUUGAGAAUUUGAAGAUGAAGGAAGAAAAAACUGUCAAGCAGUAUUUUGACAGGAUUAUGGCUGUGGUAAACAGCAUAAAGCUCCUUGGUGAGCAGUUCAGUGAAGCAAAGAUAAUGGAGAAUGUGAUUUCAACCUUACCAGAGAGGUAUGAGGCAAAAAUCUCAUCUCUCGAAGACUCAAGGGAUCUGACCAGUAUUCCCUUAACAAAGCUCAUUAAUGCUCUAUAUGCACCAGAGCAGAGAAGAGCUAGCAAGGCAGCAACAAUUGUUGAACUUGAGGAGAGACUUUGAGAAUUUGAAGAUGAAGGAAGAAGAAACUGUCAAGCAGUAUUUUGACAGGAUUAUGGCUGUGGUAAACAACAUAAAGCUCCUUGGUGAGCAGUUCAGUGAAGCAAAGAUAGUGGAGAAGGUGAUUUCAACCUUACCAGAGAGGUAUGAGGCAAAAAUCUCAUCUCUCGAAGACUCAAGGGAUCUGACCAGCAUUCCCUUAACAGAGUUCAUUAAUGCUCUAUAUGCAUAAGAGCAGAGAAGAGCUAGCAGACUGGAGAAGCACCAAGAAGGUGCCUUUCAGGCAAAGACCAAUACUGCCUACAAAGGCAAGAAAACCUGGAAAAACAGGCCUAAGCCUGAUACUGCAAGAAGCAGUGACCAACCUUACAGAUAUUUCAAAAGGAUUGGUCAUCCAGAAGAAAAAUGCUGGUUUAGACCAGAUGCCUUGUGUCAACAUUGCAAGAAGAAGGGACAUGUUGAAAGGGUCUGCAAAAGCAAGGGCAAACCAAGGCAAAAUCAAUCUCAACAGAUGAAAGUUGAGGCUCGAGUAGCCAAGGAAGACAGUGACCAAGAGGAGCAAGUCUUUGCUGUGUCAUGCUCAUUUGCUCAGGAAAGGCUCUCAAAUGGUUGGCUCCUAGACAGUGGAUGCACCAAUCACAUGACACCAGAUGCUGCAAUCUUCAAGUCAUUGGACAGAAGCUGCAGAACCAAAGUGAAAAUUGGUAAUGGCCACUUUAUAAAAGCAGAAGGCAAGGGUGAUGUGCUAAUAAGCACUCCCACAGGUGCCAAAGUGAUUUCAAAUGUGCUCUUGGUGCCUGAGAUUGACAGAAACCUGUUUAGCAUAGCUCAAUUGCUAGAGAAAGGCUACUCUGUAAUGUUCAAGGACAAGCCAUGCCAGAUCAGUGAUCCAAGUGAAUCCAAGCUCAUGGCAGUCACUAUGGCUGACAAGAGCUUUGUGAUUGAUUGGACAAAGGACUCAGACACUGCCUAUACAGCCAUAGCAGAUGAAUCCAAGCUUUGGCAUCAAGGACUUGGACAUGCCAAUUAUAAAUCAAUGGACCAAUUAAGCAGAAAUGGUUUGGCUGAACAUUUCAUCAGCUUAGUUCAAAACCAGGAGGUUUGUGAAGUAUGUCAGCUAGGGAAGCAGGCCAGACUUCUAUUUCCCUCGAAUCAGGCCUGGAGAGCCUCUGAAAAACUACAACUGGUGCACACUGAUGUGUGUGGCCCCAUGAAGACUGAGUCACUAAGUGGAAACAAGUAUUUCACACUGUUUAUUGAUGAUUUUUCAAGAUUUUGCUGGAUUUACUUUUUGAAACAAAAAUCAGAGGUGGCCUUUGUGCUUUGGAAGUUUAAAGCUACUGCUGAGACUGAAACAGGCUGCAAGUUGAAGAUCUUAAGGUCAGAUAAUGGGACUGGGUAUACUUCAGCUCAGUUCCAAGCCUUUUGUGAUAAGGCAGGCAUUAAACAUCAACUAACCAACACUUAUACACCCCAGAAAAAUGGUGUAAGUGAGAGAAAUAACAUGAGCUUGUUGGAUAUGGCUAGGUGCUUGAUGAUUCAGAAGAAUCUGCCCAAGACUCUGUGGGCUGAGGCAGUUAACACUGCAGCCUACAUUCAAAAUAGACUUCCAACCAAGGCUUUGGCACUGAAGACACCAUUCGAGGCUUGGUUUGGAUUCAAGCCAUCACUGGCUCAUCUAAAGGUUUUUGGAUGCAUUUGUUAUGCACAUGUACCUGCUAUUAAAAGGGACAAGCUGUCUGAAAGGGCUCUACCUGGUGUUUUGGUGGGCUACAACACAGUCAAGAAGGGUUAUAGGAUCUUAGAUCCUUUAGCAAACAAAGUGUCAGUGAGCAGGGAUGUUGUGUUUGAUGAGAGACUAUGCUGGAACUGGGAAAGGAAUCAACCUGAGCCAGUUUCUGAAGAUCUGGCUACUGAUCAAGCUAAAACAGACCAAAAUGGUCUUAAAAUAGACAUUGAUGAUGAACCAGUCAGGGGUACUAGACCAUUGGCUGAGAUUUAUGAAAGGGAUCAUGUUGUUACAGCUGAACCAAGUAGUUUUGAAGAGGCUGAAGCUCAGCAAGAGUGGAAGCAAGCAAUGGCUGAGGAGAUCAGCAUGAUUGAAAAGAACCAGACUUGGGAAUUGGUUGAAAGACCAGUCAAAAGGAAGGUUAUUGGAGUAAAAUGGGUGUAUAAAGCCAAGCAAAAUGCUGAUGGAAGCUUGAACAAGUUGAAAGCAAGGCUAGUUGUCAAGGGGUUCAGCCAGAAAUAUAGCCUAGACUAGUUGGAGACCUUUGCACUAGUGGCCAGGCUUGACACCAUUAGGCUACUGAUUGCUUUAGCAGUACAAAAGCAGUGGAAGAUUCACCAGCUUGAUGUGAAGUCAGCUUUUCUCAAUGGAUUUCUUGAGGAAGAUAUCUAUGUUGAACAACCACAGGGGUUUGAGAUAGCUGGAAAUGAGCACAUGGUGUACAAGCUAAAAAAUGCCUUGUAUGGGUUAAAAUAGGCUCCAAGGGCCUGGUACAGCAGGAUAGAUGGCUACUUGGUUGAUUUGGGAUUCGACAGGAGCAAGAGUGAGUCAACAUUGUAUGUUAAGAAGGAAGGAACACAAACACAGCUCGUUGUGUCUUUGUAUGUUGAUGACCUGCUGGUGACAGGAGGAGAUCAAGCUAUGUUGGUCGAUUUCAAGACUAAGAUGCAUGACAAGUUUGAAAUGUCUGAUUUAGGAAGAAUGUCCUAUUUUCUUGGAAUGGAGGUGUGCCAAACACAGAAUGGGAUAUUUCUGAGUCAGAAAAGUUUUGCCUUAAAGAUUUUAACCAAGUUCUCCAUGCAAAACAGCAAAGCAACAAGGACUCCUGUUGCUGUUGGAGAAAAACUAUCGAGCCAAGGUGAUUUUGAGAAGGUUUGUGAAACAACCUACAGAAGUCUAGUUGGUUGUUUGUUGUAUUUAACAGCUACCAAACCUAAUAUCUUGCAUGCUAUGAGCUUGCUCUCAAGAUUCUUACAUUGCAGUAAUGAAAAGCAUUUUCAAGCUGUAAAGAGAGUGCUGAGAUAUGUUAAAGGCACUGUGAAUUAUGGCUUAAUGUAUAACAAGGCUGAAAACUUGAAGCUAAUCGGCUACACAGACAGUGACUGGGGUGGCUCGAUUGAUGACAUGAAAAGCACUUCAGGGUAUGCAUUCAAUCUUAGUUCAGCUAUGUUUAGUUAGAGUUCAAAGAAACAAACUGUGGUGGCUCAGUCCACUGCUGAAGCAAAGUAUGUGGGAACAACAAGUGCUGUCAACCAAGCCAUUUGGCUAAGAAAGAUCAUGGCUGACUUAAAUGUGCAUCAAAGGGAAGCAACAGAGAUCUUUUGUGACAAUCAAUCUGCUGUUGCAAUUGCAAAGAAUCCAGUGUUCCAUGGAAGAACUAAGCAUUUCAGCAUUAAAUUGCAUGUAGUUAGAGAAAUGGAACAAGCACAGGAGUUGAAACUGAUUCAUUGCAAUUCAGAGGAUCAGCUUGCUGACAUCUUUGCUAAAGCCCUUAAUGCAACUAGAUUUGAGCAUUUAAGGGAGAAACUAGGAGUUUGCAGCAUGCUCUCCAAGGAGGAGUGAUGAAGUUGGCCAGCAUGCUGCCAUACCAGCCAACAUGCAGACCAUGAGGAUCGAGCAAGGCAGAAGCUACCGCAGCAAGCUCAAAUUGAUCUAGUUUUGUUCAUUUUGUAAUGUUUAGUUAAUGAAAUGUAUCUUAGUUCAUUUUCAACUAUGUUAGGUUGAUGAUUGAUGUAAUUUGCUGAUUGAUGAGCUGUUUAUUCAGCUUUGCUUGUAUGUACAAGUUAAUUACUUCAAGUUUCAAUGCUUAGUGGUGUUAGGUAACCAUUAGGUAAACAUUUUGCUGAUUUUGACAAGCUUAGUGCUUGGUUUAUGUAUUGGCAUUAUGCCAUUGCUCAUUUCUAUGAAUGAAAUCAGAAUUUGUUCAUCAAUACUCUCUUCAUUUUCUUGUUUUUCUUCCUUAUUUUUACUUGAAACAAGUUGUUUGCUCAGCAAGUAUCAAGGCUUGCUGCACAAGACACAAGCUGAGCUUGUUCUUCUGUUCUAAACCCAACACUCUUAAACUGAUAUCUGCUUUAUUAACCCAUUGAAAGAACAAGUUGUAGAACCGUCUUCCAUAAGACAAAGAGCAGCUUUCUUCUUCAAAUCCAUAGCUCUCUUUCUGAUAUCCUUUCCUUCCAUUUCCACCAUUAGUCGUUUUAUUGUUCUUACUGUAUUCCCUCUUUCUAGAUUCUGCAAUUCCAAGCCUAUUUUCCAAACAUUACAUAUGUAACUUGUGUUCAAGAGUUGGUCGCCAAAGAAAGGUCUACAUAGCAUUGGUACCCCUUCACAAAUGCUCUCAAUGGUUGAAUUCCACCCACAGUGGCUCCAAAAUCCACCCACUGCAGCAUGAGCCAACACUUCCUUUUGAGGUGCCCAUUUCACAAUGCAACCUCUUUCUCCCACACUCUCCUCAAACCAAUUUGGCAAAGAUUCAAUCCAUUCAGAGCCACAAACCAUACCAGGUCUAACCACCCACAGGAAGGGUUGUUUACUGUUGGAUAAUCCCCAAGCUGUCUCAAUUAGUUCUUGCUUAUCAAUGUUGGCAAUACUACCAAAGCUCACAUAGAUGACAGAUUUGGGGGCUUGUUUGUUAAGCCAAGAGAUGCAUUUAUCAUCUUCAGUCAAUAAUGAGCCGCAAAUGGCUGGAGCUAAUUUGUGUAAUGGUCCUACAGUGAAAAUUGGAGUAGGAAAGUAUUGU
rnacentral:lncRNA from 1 species